AAACCUGGCCGCUUGCGUUUGUCACGCCAGUGGAUGAGUCUGGUGCUGCGUUGCAACCUCCCAAAAGAUGAACUGUAACACUUCUGAAGCGACUCAUGUAUAGCUUCCCACGAAGGCGGGCUGCCAAUCUUUCAGCGGUCCGAAGCUUCUGGUGAAAAAUUGUAGGCCUCGCUCUUUUGAUCUCAGGAGGAUCUCGUUCGUGCCAAGAACACCAGCUGAAGUAGAAAAGGGAUGUUAGCGAUAAAAGGUCAAAGCGUUUACAGGGUGGUACCAGCUAGAAUGACGUAGUCUGCUGAAAUAUAAUUGACUUCAUUCAGGGUUGACAAUUAAAUUCUUCUCCGUGGCUAGAGGUAUCCAAGAUGAACAUCACUUCCGUCUGCGUGCAAAUUCUGGCUCCGGCCUGCACAUACGAUUUCCGUAAGAAGAUGUGCCUUCAGUUUUGGCUGGAAAAGUACCUGUGCGG